rnacentral:rRNA from 1 species
GAAUGUGUCAAUAUCAUAACACCCUGAAUACGAAGGAUCUCUUCUGAACUCAGAAGCUAAGCAGGGUUGGGCCUGUUUUGUAUUUGGAUGGCAGACUUCCUGGGAAUUCCAUGUGCUGCAGUCG